CCCGGCGUGGGGAGGCCGGCAGGCAAAGCUUUGAGAGCCGACCGCGGACCUUUCUUCAGUCUCCCAGCGGCCGAGCGGUGAGCUAGGCUGCAGCGCAGAGAGAACGCCCCGACACCCGGGCGCGGACUGGGCGGGAGCAAAACGGCUGGACCUGGAUUUGAACGCGAAGGGGUGCUGGCGCUUCUGCCGGAGCGCCGCCCGCCCCCUGGCGCGGGAUCCAGCCGAGAGAGCCGCGUUCGGCCCGCCGUGGAACUGCGGGAGAGGCCUGGGCGCUGGGAGCCGGGGAGACUGGCGUGGGAGUCUGCAGUUUAGAGGGAUUUACUCUCUUCCUAUUUUCGGUCAGACUCGUGGCAGAGUUCUCCAAAUUUCCCCGCAGAGGAGCGGAAAGUUAGGGUACCCCCGCGCGGGAGGGCGAAGCAGCAGCCCUUUCCCGGGACUGGCCCAGCCCGCGCCUCGAGCCCCGGGGCGAGGACGGAACGCUGGGCGGAGUUGGGUGAAAGGCGAUUCCCAGGAGCGAGGGGAAGGGGCUUCAGGUUUCCUUGUUAGAAAGCGCGGAAAGCGAGGGGCUGCAGGAUGGUGGGGGGCCGGGUGGUGCGGUGCGGUGCGGUGCGGUAGGAAGCCUUCCCCGGGGAAAUCCACGUGCUCGCCCGAGAAUUGUGGCGGCCCCGGCAGGGUUACGCCUGGACCCCGGGAAGCCCUCCAACUCCGGCUGGUAGCUCGGGAAGAACCUUAAGAUGACCUGGCCUGAGAAACUCCCGCGACAAAGAAGGAGAAGAAGGCUCCGAGGGUGAACCCGGCCAAAUCGGGGCUGGCACUCGGCUCGCUGGCCCAGCACCAGGUUCCUUUCCCUUCAGCCCGGAGGAGAGAUCCCCAGUGAGUUGGCUGCGACUGAUGGGAAUUAUUCACUAAGCCAGGGGAACUUCCAGGAUCUGAAAAACGAGUGACAGAUUAUUGUAUCCCUGUAAGAUCUUCAAGUGUUUGAGGAGAAAGAAUGAAGAACCAUGGGCAGUAAGAACAAAACAUGGUACGCCCAUCUAGGAAAAACAUUAUAAAGGAUGAGACCUACCUGACCAAAACUCUGGUUCUGCCUUUUUUCCAAAAAUAGCUCUCUUCCUGCUAGUGAAGAAUGAUAUAUAGAAACCAAGAUAUGAUAUCAUAGAAGAGAAACACCAGAAGCCACAGCAUAAUAUAAAAAGGACACAAUUUGACCAGUGUUACAAAGCAAGAUUAACAGUUAUUAAGAAUGUAUACUAUAUAUAUUGUAUUUUGUUUAAUCAUCUAAACAAUGUAAUUGCUACACCUGUUAUUCCCAUUUCAUAGAAAAAUAAACUGACAUUACAUGCUUAGUUAAACUCAGUCUACUUCUUGUAUGUAAUACAUUGUGGAGAUUUGACUCAGACCCACAUGUUUGACCCUAGACCACAUACUCUUUUAAAUUCAUCACAUCAAACUUUGCUCUCCCCAAUUCAGCAAUAGUUUACUCAACUAAUUCUUUGUGUUUUCUUCUGAAAGAGAAGGAUAUUGGCUUGUUUUAACAAUCUACAGUGUUUUAACAAUCAGUAAAUGUGUUCACUGUACAUCAUAGUUUUUUUUUUUAGUGGUCUGUAUUCAUGCUUUCAAAUUAACUCUGACAGUGAUGCUUUAAACUUAAUUUCAAUUUUAUUAAUUAAAACGGAUCUGAAUACAUUGAAAAAUAUAAGUUGUGACAACAGGAUGGAAAUAUGUGGGUGAAAGCUACCCCAGGGUCAUUUUAAAUGACUUUAUCCAAAAGAGCUGCCUAAAAGGCAAUAGGAUCCCAACAGAGAGAGUCUGAGAGAUGGACUCCUGAGACCUGAAUCCCAGUCAGGUGCUGGUGAGAGAUGCCUAUCAGUGAAUGGGGAGAGGAGUGAAUGGUCCGAAGAACCCUCCAAGGAACCGAAACUCCCUUCAAUGAAAAUGAAAAGAGUCAGCUAUGACACUUGGAAAAGCAAAGAACAGUGAUGGCAGCUCUAAAAUACAAGCAUGCAGGAGAUUCCUGUGCCCUUACCUCUUCUCCCGUCACCAUCUGGAAUCCUGGAAUGGUCAGAAACGGUGCAAAUUAGGAAUUGAGGAGAGGACGAAAGACGAAUUGGGAAAACAGAGGAAUAUCUAUCCAAGCUGUACUUUAUACUACAAGCCUGCCUUCUGUUGCAUAGCUGAUUAGAUUGGCCAUAAUCACACAUAAAAUGCUCAACUCUACAGACUAUUUCCAUCAGAAGUGACCAAGUAACAAAAGUCCUAUAACAUAACUGAAGAGGGAGACACCAUUUUGCCUCCAUGAUUAGACAAGCAUGAAGGUAAAAGCUUCACUGUGAGGAUGAUGGAGCAAAAUCAUAGAAGGGGGCCUAGGUUCCCUUCCUUCAGACUUAUUAUGUGAGAAAAAUAAAAUACUGUUAUAAGGUUAAACAACAAAGAUAGGUUUCAACUUCAUGUACCUAAAUAUAUCACAAUUCACACAAUAUACAUAAAAGUGGUAAAAGUAUUCAUUAUAUAAGAAAUCCAUGAUGCCCAAUACAAUCAAAUAGAAAAAUUACAGUUCUUUAAUUCAUUAUGAUUUUGAAUUGAUCUUUUACAGUCUUUUAGUUAUCAAACUAUUAAAUACAUUUGCACACUCAAGUUUUGUUAAUAAUGCAGUUGAAUCCUAUUUCUCUGUGUGUAUAUGAUUGUGUGUGUACAAACAUAUGUGUGCACAUAUACUUCAGGAACCUAAAGGAAUGAUUAUUUCUUUUGUAGGGCACUCAAUUGUAGUUACCUCAACUCUUCCUUAAAUUUCUCCAUCCAAGUUCCACUUCCUAAGGGAAUAGAUCCUAAUAUAUUCCAAUAAAAAUAAUUUAAUUAUUACUUAUUUUGAUCUGGCCAUCAUUGGAGGUUUGCAGCAUGAGUGAGUGAGAAUUCUGACGCAUUUACUUUAUCUGUAUACCCACUUCAGAGUUUUUAUCAUAAAUGGAUGUUAAAUUUUGUCAAAUGCUUUUUCUGCAUCUACUAGCUGAUCAUAUGAUUUUAAUCGUUCAUUUUCUUAAUGUAGUAUAUCACAUUGAUUUGCAGUCAGAAACCCUGAAAGUAGUGGUUCCCUAUGUUCUUAUCUUAAGCCAGCUGUUCAGUUUUCCAGUCCUUCUAGAAGGUAGCAGAGUUGCUAUCAAGCAAUAGCUCUCUCCUCCAAGAUCUGAGACACAUGUUCAUCAGCCUCCACUUUAGUAAUCCAGAAAAGCAUGUUCCCUGCUACUCUAGAUCAUAGUGAAACUCAGGAAAGUCAUAAAUCUCAAUAGUCCAGGUAAAGUCCAGGUAUUCAAGGCAGCAUCUUGCAAAGAAUUCCUUUGCAGCUCCGGAGUCAGCUAGAGCAGACACCAUCACAACAGCAGUGUGUGGCCUAAUCCCUUAGUCCAGACAGUGUGUCUUUUCUCAUUAUUACUCCCUGCAUGGCCAAGAGCACCUCUUCCCAAGCCCCAUGGUCAGGAGAGCUCUGUAUGGCUGCUACCUCCUACUUUUCUUCUCCUUUCUAAGCCACUUGGCCAAAAGAGUGAAUGACUCCCAUAUUGUUUAAAUCCUGGCACCUCAUCAUAAUCACAUUUCUGAAUCCUCUCACACUGGGUUACACCUACCGGUUCCCACAGCCUUUCUCUCUGGCUGCCUUUGUUAGUCCAGGCAGGCAUGGAAUGGUGUCCAGAACGCAAGGUGUAUAGGAAUAUUGGAGAGACAUACAGGAUGUCCUCACCCCUUCCCCCACAGGUGUGAGUUGGGGGAAGGGACACAUGGAGCAGGAACAUGCAGGGCUGUUCUGUACAGCCACAGCCUUGCAGCUAAUCCAUGGCAUGGUCAUUUAACAUAUCUAUAGCCUUUGGUAGGUCACUUGGAUAUGUUAAAUGGCUGUGGCCAGCCUUGGAGCCAGGGGGGUGAAGUCACUUCCCCCCAAGAUGUAACUGAGGGGCAGGUCCCCCGAGCUGCAGUGCCUGUGUAGCAGCUUGAAGAAGAUUGGCUCUAGGACAUGGGGCAAUACCUGCCCAGACUAACCAUGGCAGUCCAGUAAACUUGUAAUGAUACAGAAACACUGGCAGGUGUAACUGAUUAUGGGAGGGGUCGGAAAUAGGGGUACAGAGGAAGAAUGGCACAGGGAUUUAAACCCAGUCAUGGCAGCCAUUGGAGAAAGCCAUGUGGUUUUGGGCAGAGUGAGGACCCCCUCUUGCCCAUGGAAAGAGAGAGCCACGCAGCUUUGCCAGAAUGGAGAUCCCUACAGCCAGGUGAAGAAGAAAGACGUGCACUUUUGAUGGAGCGUGGACCCCUGCAGCUUUGGUAGAAGAGGCCCAUGUGCCUUGGGGUGCUCCCUUUGGCCGCAUGGCCUGGAAAGCAGGAGAGACUUUGACUAGAAAAAUGGGUACAAAGAACUCUUGUCAGUGGACUGUGAGGUGCCGCAUGACUUUGGAUUAAUUGGAGAUCCUGCCUGGACGGUGACACAGCUGACAGUACCAGCGGCCUGGAAAAACAGACGUGUGCUCUUUUCCUGACUUAUGGUACCCCGAGUUAGGACAGAGGGAGAAGGGAGCGCUGUGUGCAUAGGUAGAUAUCCUAGGGGACUUUAAUAUUUUAAUGGGGACAUUGGCCACUGCUUUCAGUCUGUAUAGCUUUGUAUAAACCUUUCCUUUCCUUUUCAGAAAUCUCUGACAUUGAGAGAUGUCUUUCCUUUAGCAGCAGACAGAUGAGUCCAGUAGGUAUUAAUAUACCGUUGGGAGGGGCCCCUGUUUUCUGUAACAGUUUUUGGCAUCCCUGGGUGGGCCAAAUAUUGCCCCCCUUGGACCUCUGCUCUGUAACAAAUAUACAGAGAUCAUUAAGUUAGGAAGAAAAAAGUAACAUAACUAUUUCACGUCUUCGUUACUUAAGUCCUAAAGUUACAUUUCCUUGGUCAAAGUCAUUGUUAAUGCAGAUGUUUGAGAAUAAACAUGGUUACUUUAAACACCACAUAAGACAUCUCUGACAUAAUGUCUCCCUACUUCCUGUUAAUGUGGUAGAAGAUGAAAAUUUACUAAGUCAAAACAAUACUUGUAAAGAAGGCAAAUAAUAGUUCCUCAGAGUCUGUGAGAGAUUUUCAGUAACUACAUGGACAUUGGCUAGACUGAGAAACUACUGGAGGUCUUCACAUAUUUUGCCCCUGAAGACUGAGCAGUACCUAAAAGGAAGGUUGAAUGAGGCUAUAAUCCACACCCACUACCCAUCCCUAGGACAGAGAUGCAGGGAUUUUUCCAACCACGAAUUUGAACUGCCAUCCAUUUAAUGAAAAAUAAUUUACUUUUAGUGGUAACUAGGGACAUAUUCUCCAUAAAUACCUUCUAAGUACCUAUAACUCUCAAACAUUCAGAAAAUUAAGUUCCCAGUUAAGCAAUAUGAAUAAAAAUGGACUAAGGGUGAGGUUACCUAACAAGUUGGUAGGCAGAGAAGAAACCAAAAAGUUUCCUUAGCCAGAA